GAUGAAGAACGUAGCGAAAUGCGAUACGUAAUGUGAAUUGCAGAAUUCAGUGAAUCAUCGAAUCUUUGAACGCAUAUUGCGCUCUCUGGUAUUCCGGAGAGCAUGCUUGUUUGAGUAUCAGUAAACACCUCAACUUCCAUAUCUUUUUUGAAAUGGGAGUUGGACUUGAGUGAUCCCAACGCUUUUCCUCACCGAAAAGUGGCGGGUUACUUGAAAUGCAGGUGCAGCUGGACUUUUCUCUGAGCUUAUAAGCAUAUCUAUUUAGUCUGCCUAAAAAACAGAUUAUUACCUUUGCUGCAGCUAACAUAAAGGAGAUUAGUUCUUGUGCUGACUGUUGCAGGAUUCACAAAGACAGGCUUCGGCCGACUUUGUAAACUCGAUCUCAAAUCAAGUAAGACUACCCGCUGAACUUAAGCAUAUCAAUAAGCGGAGGA
rnacentral:misc_RNA from 1 species